GAUGACAUUUUGAACAGGGUGGAAUAUUUGGGAUUUGGAGCACCGGGAAUAAUUCAAAGUUUGCCGGAUGCAAUUAGGUCUAAGACCGAAUGGACCGAAUGGAAUCUAUCCUUUGUUGCCCAGAACAACAAUAAGCUUCAAACCCUUGUUGAUGAUCAGGCAAUAAAGACAAUGGAACUGAUGAAAGGCCGUUUAGAUAAUAUAACACAAAUUAAGGUUUACGACAGCAAGUUGUGGAUGGAGA
rnacentral:lncRNA from 1 species